AGCCUUCUGAACCCAUGUUUAGAUUUCGUUACACACCACACCACCAGGACUGACGAAACUCCCAAGAUGAGUGAAGUG
rnacentral:pre_miRNA from 1 species